rnacentral:rRNA from 1 species
CUAAGCGCACACGGUGGAUGCCUAGGCAGUUGGAGGCGAUGAAGGACGUAGGAGCCUGCGAAAAGGUUAGGGGAGCUGGCAAACACGCUUUUGAUCCUAACAUGUCCGAAUGGGGAAACCCACUUACCAUAAGGUAGGUAUCGUAUAGUGAAUACAUAGCUAUACGAAGCGAACCCGGGGAACUGAAACAUCUAAGUACCCGGAGGAAAAGAAAUCAACCGAGAUUCCCUUAGUAGCGGCGAGCGAAAGGGGAGCAGCCCUUAAGCUUAAUUGGUUUUAGUGGAACGCUCUGGAAAGUGCGGCGAUACAGGGUGAUAGCCCCGUACACGAAAGGCCUUUUAAGUGAAAUCGAGUAGGACGGGACACGUGAUAUCCUGUUUGAAUAUGGGGGACCAUCCUCCAAGGCUAAAUACUCCCAACU